rnacentral:tRNA from 1 species
UUAGCUUAGUGGCAUAAGUGCUUGCUUUGCAAGCAGGCAAUCAUGAGUUCGAUCCCUCGUA